GCCGCUUGCAUAGUUCUCUGAAUGGAUGGAUGAAUGGGUACAGUUCUCUGAAUGUGAAGGUGUUCACUAAUGUUCUCUGAAUGUGAAGGUGUCAGAAUGACAGAAAAUGUCAGUUCAAAUUUUCUGCACCAUCAGUUUUAUUGCUUAAUGUUGUAGUCACUUGUUUUCUUGAUGCCAUCAGGUGUUUGCUUAAAAUACUUCAGUUCAACAAAAAGCUCCAGAAAAGUUCGGAGUGAAAAGCUCCAUGGUGUUUCUUCGGCUGCAGCAUGUACAUGCAUCUCUACAAAAAAACGGUGAGCAUCCCCCCAUGUUGCAUGCUGUUGCCGCAGGCUCUGCAUUUUUCUUCUUGGAGCUAAGCUAUUGUUGCUAAUGCGUUUGGAUUUGGACAAAGAAGAUAGAGAAUAAAAGAGACGGGUGAAGAGAGAGCAAGUAGAGGAGAAAAAAUGUGGGAGCCAGGCUUCCUGAAGCAUUGCAUCUGAGUUGAUUCUGGCUGCCUCACGAGUUAACAACUAACUUAUUUUUGUGUUAUUAGUGUUAGGAAUAAGCAACUUGUAUUCCCAUGAGGCCAUAGGCCGAUAUAUAUACAUGUACAGGUGUGGAACAUAUGCAGGAAACCCCUUAUAUAACGGGAUAAAUACAAAGGGGUACAUGGCCUAUAUUACUCUAACACCCCCCCCCUCAAACUCAUGGUGGAGGAACAACACUGAGUUUGGAGAGAUAAAAGCCAUGUUGUGCUCUAGUCUGGGCCUUCGUCAGGAAAUCCGCCAACUGUAACUCGGAAGGCACAUACUGAAGAGCAAUAACCUGAUCCUGCACAGCAGCGCGCACAUAGAAAGCAUCAACACCAAUAUGCUUGGUGAGCUCAUGCUUCACAGGAUCGCGCGCAAUACUAAUAGCACCUGUACUGUCAGAUAAGAGCAGAGUCGGUGUAGUGACAGAAACACCAAAAUCCUGAAGUAACCACCGUAACCAAGUCACCUCUGUCGUCAAAAGAGCCAUAGCUCGCAACUCAGCCUCAGCACUCGAACGGGAAACUGCAAUCUGUUUCUUCGUCUUCCAGGCAAUGAGAGAACCGCCAAGAAAAACACAGUAAGCAGAAAGUGAACGGCGAUCAGAAGGAUCACUAGCCCACGUAGCAUCCGCAUAGGCCUGAAGCUGUAAAGAACUGGAGCUAGGAAAGAAGAGACGGUGAGAGAUCGUGCCCCGAAGAUAUCGGAGAACACGAAGGAGAUGACUAUAGUGAACCGAUGUGGGAGCAGAGACAAACUGACUUAGAAUAUGAACCGGAUAAGAGAUGUCCGGACGAGUGACAGCGAGAUAAACAAGACUGCCAACAAGAUGACGAUAACGCGUCGGGUCAGGAAGAGGAUCACCAUCAGUAGCACGGAGGUGAACAUUGAGCUCCAUAGGAGUCUCAACAAUGCGCUCGUCAGUAAGAGCAGCACGAGCAAGAAGAUCCUGGAUAUACUUUUCCUGGGAUAUAAAAAAGCCAUCAGAGGUAGAAGAGACUUCAAUCCCAAGAAAGUAGCGAAGAGGUCCAAGAUCAGACAUAAGAAACUGCUCACUAAGACGGGCCUUUACAAAGGCAAUAUACUCAGGGUCAUCCCCAGUGAUGACCAUAUCAUCAACAUAGAGAAGAAGAAGAGUCCGGCCACGAGGAGAAAGGUGAAUAAAUAAUGCUGGAUCAUGAGCACUUGCUGAAAAACCAGCAGUAGUGACCACAGAGGCAAAACGCUCAAACCAGGCGCGAGGGGCUUGCUUAAGGCCAUAGAGAGAGCGACGAAGACGACACACCAUGCCAUCAGGAACAGAAUACCCAGGUGGUGGCUGCAUGUACACCUCCUCACGCAGCUCACCAUUAAGAAAGGCAUUCUUAACAUCAAGCUGAGAUAUAGACCAGUGGCGUGCAGAGGCCACGGCAAGAAGUGUACGAAUAGUGGUCAUAUGGGCCACAGGAGCAAAAGUCUCGUCAUAAUCACGACCAUGCUCCUGCUGAAAACCACGAGCCACGAGACGAGCUUUGUGACGCUCAAGAGAACCAUCGGAGCGAGUCUUAACCUUGUAGACCCACUUACAAGUGAUGGGACGGACGCCGGGAGGAAGAGAAACAAGAUCCCAGGUACCAGUGCGUUCAAGAGCAGCAAUCUCCUCUGCCAUCGCAAACUGCCAUUCAGGAUGAACAACAGCCUGACGGUAAGAAGUCGGCUCAAGAACAACAGCACCAGCGGUGGGAAAUCCAAAGCGAUCAAUAGGCGGACGAGGACGAGAACGCAAGCCAUAAGUAGGCUGAGAGGAAGAGGACGACUCAUCCAAGGUACCAGGUACCAGUGCGUUCAAGAGUAGCAAUCUCCUCUGCCAUCGCAAACUGCCAUUCNNNNNNNNNNCAAGAAGUGUACGAAUAGUGGUCAUAUGGGCCACAGGAGCAAAAGUCUCGUCAUAAUCACGACCAUGCUCCUGCUGAAAACCACGAGCCACGAGACGAGCUUUGUGACGCUCAAGAGAACCAUCGGAGCGAGUCUUAACCUUGUAGACCCACUUACAAGUGAUGGGACGGACGCCGGGAGGAAGAGAAACAAGAUCCCAGGUACCAGUGCGUUCAAGAGCAGCAAUCUCCUCUGCCAUCGCAAACUGCCAUUCAGGAUGAACAACAGCCUGACGGUAAGAAGUCGGCUCAAGAACAACAGCACCAGCGGUGGGAAAUCCAAAGCGAUCAAUAGGCGGACGAGGACGAGAACGCAAGCCAUAAGUAGGCUGAGAGGAAGAGGACGACUCAUCCAAGGAAGCAUCCACAGGUCGUGAACGACGAGUGUAAUGCUGAGGCAAAGACGGAAUAAGAGAAGGAGGAAUCGCCAAGGUAGAAUCGGGGGUUGGCGACGAAGAAGUCACCGGAGAUGAAGGUGUAGAAUCCACUGACAUGCUAGGGGAGGAGACCGGGGAAGAUGGUGGCGACGUCUCGACGAGGGGUGGAGAAGCAGAGGGAGGGGAACGAAUAGGCACAGGCGCGACGGGGGUGAUAGGUGAGUCAGGAAAAGUGAGGAAAGAGAUAUCCUCCACCGAAAAAGACGAGGAAGAUGGGCGUGGGUAGAAAGGACGAGACUCAUCAAAAGUCACGUCUCGAGAGAUACGCAUCCGACGACCGAUAGGAUCCCAACAACGAUAGCCCUUAUGCUCAUCAUUGUAGCCUAAGAAGACACACUCAACAGACUGAGCGGUCAGUUUGGUGCGUUCGCGAGGGGCAAGAAGAACAUAGCAAACACAACCAAACAAGCGAAGCAUCGAAUAAUCGGGAGACCGAUCAAAAAGACGCUCAAAAGGAACACCACCCUGCAAAGCAGCGGACGGCUGAAGGUUGAUGAGAGAGACGGAAGUGGAGAUAGCCUCGGCCCAAAAAUGAGGCGGAAGAGAGGCGGCAAUCAUCAUAGCACGAGCCGUCUCAAGAAGGUGACGAUGCUUGCGCUCAGACACGCCAUUCUGAGCAUGAGCACCAGGACAAGAGAACUGGGCAAGAGUACCCUGCUCAGCAAGAACACCACGCAACAUCUUAGAGAUAUACUCACCAGUGGAGUCAGCACGGAAAACACGAAUGGGUGAAGAGAACUGAGUAUGAACCAUGGCAGCAAAACGCUUAUAAAUAGGCAACACCUCACUACGUGAAGUCAUGAAAUAAAGCCAUGUGUAACGAGAAAAAUCAUCGAUGAAAAUAAUAUAGUAUUUAUGACCACCUUUCGAAGCGAAAGGAGCCGGACCCCAUACAUCAGAAUGGACUAAAUCGAAAAGACGCUUAGACACUGACUCACUAUGUGAAUAUGGUAACUGGAUCUGCUUGCCAAGACGACAACCCUGACACUCUAAAGAGACAUCUCCUGAGACAGACCCCAGAAGACCUCGACGAACUAAAGACGAUAACCGAGAACCACACAGAUGACCAAGUCGAUGAUGCCACUGCUUGAAGGAACCAGUAACAGAGGCGACAGCAGCGGAGGGACUGGCAAUGGUGGUGGCAGCGGAAGGAACAUGAAGCCAGUCCAACUCCCAAAGACCCCGAGAAUCACGACGGCGAGGGCCAGCCCCAACCAGAGUGUGCGUGCGACGAUCCUGGACAGAACAAGAGUCAACAUCAAGGAUGACACGACAACCAGAAUCAGUAAGUUGACCAGCAGAAAACAGAUUCAUGGUAAGGCGAGGAACAUCAGGAACAGAAUAAGAAGGAGUGGAAAGAUGGCCUCUACUAGCAACAGAAAGUGGAGUACCAUCAGCAGUUAAGACAUGAACAGGAGAAGCCAGCGAUCGAAGAGAGGACAAAGCGGAAGAAUGAGAAGACAUAUGAAAAGAAGCUCCAGAGUCUAGAACCCAUGGGGAUGUACCUGACUGUGUAGAGGGCAGGUGCUCAGUGCGGGAAGCAUCAGUCACAGAACCAGCAGUACCCGUCGAGGAAGAACCUGAAGCCGCGAGCAGACGCUUAAGUCUCAGAAUAUCCUGCUCAGUCAAAGCAAUGGCUGAACCUGGCGAGGGAGAUGACGAAGUCCCUGAGGAGGAUGAGCGCGCCUUGCGCAGGUGUUUCCGCUUUGUGUAGCACUGGGACUCAAUAUGACCAUCAUUGUUGCAGUAGUCACAGUGUGGACGAGGGCGACCUGAGCCUCCAGAAGGAGUGGGCAAGAGCGGCGGAGCACUCGAGCGAGAAUGGGGCGGUGCCGCAGGUGGAGUGGAAGAAGCCCAAGUAGCAAGCACAGAGGGAACCUCCAGCAAACCAGCACCACGUAGGCGAAUCUCCUCAGCACGAAUCUCUGAAAGCGCCUCCAUGAGAGAAAUACGGCCACGAGCAAACAACUGAGCACGCCGGGGCUCAAACUCCUUACAAACUCCUUACGGAGCCGAGACAGGAACUCGUAGACGCGAUGAAACUCCAAAUCGGCCUGGACAGCCUGGCAGCAGGGGCAAGUACGACAACCAGCACUGCGGAGAGAAUCAAGCUGGCGCCAGAUAGCAGAACUCUGUGCAUAAAAGUCAUCAACAGUAGAGUCACCCUGCUGAAGAGCAUGCUCCUGACGAACCACGGAAAGGUAUAAGGCAUCACCAGAGGGCUCAUAGCGCUGACGAAGACAGGUCCACAUCUGGAAGACAGUAGGAAGACCCAGAAACUCAGAAGCAAACUGAGGCAAAACACUAGCAGUGAGAACAGCUGCAGCACGAGCAUCAUCAUCAAGCCACUGGGUGUAAACAGACAAAGCACCAUGAUACGUCUGAAGAGCCUCCUCAUAAGCCAAAACCCUCUCAUCAUAGGCACGAUCAGCAGCCUCAUCAGCAAUCUUAGCCGCAUCCUUGGCGGCCUGAUUAGCAUCCGUAGGAAGAACCAGUGGAGUCGGCGGAGUAGGGGCCACCGGAGGAACCGGACGUGGCGGACAGCAGACCUCGCCAGAAAACCCCAGAGACGGAUGCCACGCAUGUGAAUGCACAUGAAGCCAGCGAACUCGGUGUAGUUAGUACCAUCGAAGAUCACCGGACAGCGAGGGACAGCAACAUAGCCCGAUGCAGCAGACAUUUUUUUUUAGGAGAGACCCGAAAUCAGCAGAGCACCGGACGACAGGCGGAAGACCACGAGCACCGGACGACAGGCAGAAGACUAAGACGCGCCGGGUCUGGCGGCUGGUUCUGAGUCUCCACUAGCACGCAGGAGACCGGCGCUGGCGGCUGUCUCGACGGCGCCAGUAGGGGCACUGCGGGGGCGACGGCGCCGGUUGCGGCGGGGCAGGUUGGGGCGGAGUGCGAGCAGCCCGGUGGCGGCGGCGUCAGUUGGGGCGGAGUCCGAGCGGCCCGGUGGCGGCGGCGUCAGUUGGGGCGGAGUCCGAGCGGCCCGGUGGCAGCGGCGUCAGUUGGGGCGGGGUGGGCAGCGAGUCGAUCUGGGGCAGCAGGCAGAAGAUCGGUCGGGGGAGGGAGUCCACGAGCAGCGCCCGACGCGUGUUGAGCGACGAGCAGGCGUGAGACCGGAGCAGCGCCCACCGCGUGUUGAACGUCCAGAAGGAGCAGCGCUUCAGGCCGGGGCAGCGGAUUGGAGCGGAUCGAGCACGAGUUGCGGCGUGCGAAAAGAAAACCCUAGGGCUCUAAUACCAUGUUAGGAAUAAGCAACUUGUAUUCCCAUGAGGCCAUAGGCCGAUAUAUAUACAUGUACAGGUGUGGAACAUAUGCAGGAAACCCCUUAUAUAACGGGAUAAAUACAAAGGGGUACAUGGCCUAUAUUAUAACUCUUAACAAUUAGCAACUAGUUUUUUUUCUUAUGUUAUUAGCAACUACUUUUUUUGCGCAUAAGCAACUGUUUGUUUGCUCCAGUCAUGCAUAAGUAUCUUGAUUCUUGUUUAACCCUUAUUGCAGGAUGAUUCCAUUCUCUGCAAAGUCCAUUAGACAAGGUCUAGGUCCCAAGACCGGGGAACAAUAUGGCGCUCCAUUUGAGGAAAGAGGAAUUGAAUGGAUAUGAAGAGUAUAUGUUUACUUUUCUUGUAAGUAAACCUACCUUCGAUCCUCAACUGCUCCAUUAAUGCCCCCUAGCAUGUACAAGUCCCCUUGUUAUACUCUUUAUUUAUUCCACCUCCAAUUUUUUUUCCGAGUUCUAUUCUUCGUCACAGGUUCACUGCUAUUACCUCGGUGCAAAAAAGUGCCAAAAAGUUCAGUUCAUACUAUUCUAAAUGUCCAUAUUGUAGAUAAUAUUUGUGCUGUCUUAAAUUUCUGGAAACAAGCUUCAGUACAAGAAAAAUGGGCCAGUCAGUUCAUCCAUAUGCAAACCCCCGUAACAAAACGUAUCUCUAAUCCAAUUAGGUGAGGAUGUGCAACAUAUGUUUAAGUAAAACAUUUAUACCAUGUUACAAAAGUAACUUACCCUGUUCCAUAGAAGAUUGAUUGAAUUUUUAAAAUAUAUUUUAGAAAAUAAGUGUGCACAAAGUAGCUCUCUCUCUUUCUAUUACUCUGUCUCAUGUGAUGUUACUGCUCCUAGUAUGUGAAAUUUCCUGCCAUAUUGACAAAAUGAGUGAAAUCUUAUGGUGUUCUCUGUGAAAUGGAGAUACCUAGUCUAACAAGAGUUCAAGUAUAGAAAAUGUGGCAGUGGCAAUUUUCAAAACCUUUAACUGUUGAAGUACAUAAGAAACACAAAGUCCAUUCUGCAAAAACAACAGUAGACGUGAUGUUCAAUUUUGCUAAAUUAUGCAAGUGGUAAUUCAUAUGGGUUUCCUUUGUGGUGAAGAUUUCAUCAGUACUGAUAGCUUAACUUAUUAUGUUAAUUCUAGUGCGGCACUAGCGAAGGUAGAAAUGUACUGAAUGUUCACACCUUUAAUCGUCUCAUUUUGUGAACACGCAUCAGUUCAGUAUGAAAAAGGAACAUAAUAAGUUAACUUUGCAAGUGAAUCAGUUCACCUUGAAUAAAAUACAGAAGUGCACCAUCAAGUUUUCCAUCAGUUCGCUUAUAAAAAAACAGAAAGUUGGUUGUGUAAAGAAAAUCGGAAAACCAAUGUCAGCCUAGAAGUUCACUAGGGGACUCCACGCAAGUGCACUCCUUAGAAAAUUUUGGGUUUACUAUAUUUUAUAGACUGCAGAAAUUUUGAACUUACUAUUUUGAAAUUUUCGUUGUCAUUAUCCAAAGUUGUACGCUGGACUAAAAGUUGUCUUUUUUGAUCUUUAGUUCUGACCUUUUUUUCUGAACUUACUAUUCUGUUUGUGUACAUUAUCCUCUCGUCAAUUUUGUGAUUUUAGACUAAGUUUCAGCCCUCGAGCAAGAGCUCGUCCACCACGGGUGCUUGCAGCCGUCCAAGUCUCAAUUUCUUCUCAGUUUUCAUGGAUGCUCGCCGGCCAUGCGUCCAGCAUGCUUGUGGCGAUAGCUGCCACCACUAACGGCAUUGGCGGCCAGCACGCCUGGUACAUGCUCGAUGGUUGCACACUACUGCCGUGGACAUGCACAAUAUACUUAGCAGAAGUUUGUUAGUUAGGAUUCUUAGCAUUCAAUUUCUAAUUUAAGUUCAGUUCAUUUUCUAAUUUAAGUAAAGUGAGCACUGGAAAAUCAAUUAGUUUGUUUUUACUUAUACUCCAUGAACUUGUAGUAACCUAAUUGAUUUGGUGCUAAUGGUCAUAUAAAACCCCUAGAAAAAAAUCAAAUACAUUAUUAACGGUACAAUUUGUAUUCUGUCAUUAGUUCAUAUAGAUCCCCCAGAAAAAAUAUUGUAUGCCAGUUAGGUGUAUGUUAAAUGUCGUAGCCUCGCUCCUCCAAAAAUCAAAUACACUAUUAUCAGUACAAAUUGUAUUAUGUCAUUAGUUCAUGUAGAAGCCCCCAGAAAAAAUAUUGUAUGCUAGUUAGGUGUAUGUUAAAUGUCGUAACCCCGCUCCCCCUCCUGGCCAGGAGGCCCAUUGCCCCGUUUGUUGCUAAAUACCAUAGUCAUUUGUUUCUUUAUUUCUUUAUGCCCGUCAGGUGUCUGCUUGACAUCGGUAGUCAAAAUGAGCUUUGGACUUCAGGUAGCUGCAAACACAUGUUGGUUUUACUUUGUGCUGGCGUGUUCCCCUUCUUGCGUGUUGAUCAUUAUCUGCUUAUGAAUAGCCGCGCCUUUCGUACAUGAUUUUUUUUAUCGAAAUGUUGUAACUAGAGGACUAUAACCACUACAGGAUGCCAAAAAAAAAAAAAAAAUCAAACUGCACAAGUAGUGUUCCAUUUAUGUUUCUCUCAUGCCUGCCCUUUUGAUCUUAUAG
rnacentral:lncRNA from 1 species